AUGCCAUGAUGUGGACACUUAACCAUCAUACCUUUGAACCUCUCCCACGUUUCUUGCAAUGUAUCAAUUAAUUUUUGCAUGAAGCUCAAUAUCUCAUCAACUUGCUU
rfam:Nicotiana sylvestris Nsyl_contig105966, whole genome shotgun sequence.